rnacentral:rRNA from 1 species
UAAGUGGCGGACGGGUGAGUAAUGUAUAGUUAAUCUGCCCCCUAGAGAGGGAUAACUACUGGAAACGGUAGCUAAUACCUCAUACUCCUUUUACCUUAAUGGUAAUUGGGAAAUGUCUUUUCGCUAGGGGAUGAGACUAUAUGGUAUCAGGUAGUUGGUGGGGUAAGAGCCCACCAAGCCAAUGACGCCUAGCUGGUCUGAGAGGAUGAUCAGCCACACCGGAACUGAGACACGGUCCAGACUCCUACGGGAGGCAGCAGUGGGGAAUAUUGCACAAUGGAGGAAACUCUGAUGCAGCAACGCCGCGUGGAGGAUGACACAUUUCGGUGCGUAAACUCCUUUUAUAUGGGAAGAUAAUGACGGUACCAUAUGAAUAAGCACCGGCUAACUCCGUGCCAGCAGCCGCGGUAAUACGGAGGGUGCAAGCGUUACUCGGAAUCACUGGGCGUAAAGCGCGCGCAGGCGGCUAUUUAAGUUGGAUGUGAAAGCCUACGGCUCAACCGUAGAACUGCAUCCAAAACUAUUUAGCUAGAGUGUGGGAGAGGAAGAUGGAAUUAGUUGUGUAGGGGUAAAAUCCGUAGAGAUAACUAGGAAUACCAAAAGCGAAGGCAAUCUUCUGGAACAUUACUGACGCUGAGGCGCGAAAGCGUGGGGAGCAAACAGAGAAUUAGAUACCCUGGUAGUCCACGCCCUAAACGAUGAAU